AUGAACGCUAGCGGCAGGCUUAAUACAUGCAAGUCGUACGGGAUCCGAGGUAGCAAUACUUUGGUGAGAGUGGCGCACGGGUGCGUAACACGUAUGCAACCUACCUAUAACCGGGACACAACCCACCGAAAGGUGAGCUAAUAUCCCAUAACACUGCGAGAUGGCAUCAUUUUGCAGUUAAAACUCCGGUGGUUACAGAUGGGCAUGCGCGACAUUAGCUAGUUGGUGAGGUAACGGCCCACCAAGGCUACGAUGUCUAGGGGUUCUGAGAGGAUUAUCCCCCACACUGGUACUGAGACACGGACCAGACUCCUACGGGAGGCAGCAGUAAGGAAUAUUGGUCAAUGGGCGCAAGCCUGAACCAGCCAUGCCGCGUGAAGGAUGACGGCCCUAUGGGUUGUAAACUUCUUUUGUACGGGAAAAAACCACAGGUCGAGUAUCUGUGCUGAUGGUACCGUAAGAAUAAGCAUCGGCUAACUCCGUGCCAGCAGCCGCGGUAAUACGGAGGAUGCAAGCGUUAUCCGGAUUCAUUGGGUUUAAAGGGUGCGCAGGCGGAAUAAUAAGUCAGUGGUGAAAUCCUACAGCUUAACUGUAGAACUGCCAUUGAUACUGUCAUUCUUGAGUAUUGUUGAGGUAGGCGGAAUGUGUCAUGUAGCGGUGAAAUGCUUAGAUAUGACACAGAACACCGAUCGCGAAGGCAGCUUACCAAGCAAUAACUGACGCUCAUGCACGAAAGCGUGGGGAUCAAACAGGAUUAGAUACCCUGGUAGUCCACGCCGUAAACGAUGAUCACUCGAUGUUGGCGAUACACAGUCAGCGUCUUAGGGAAACUAUAAGUGAUCCAC
rnacentral:rRNA from 1 species